CAGUCGCCGCGGGAAUACGUAGGUCCCGAGCGUUGUCCGGAUUUAUUGGGCGUAAAGCGAGCGCAGGCGGUUAGAUAAGUCUGAAGUUAAAGGCUGUGGCUUAACCAUAGUACGCUUUGGAAACUGUUUAACUUGAGUGCAAGAGGGGAGAGUGGAAUUCCAUGUGUAGCGGUGAAAUGCGUAGAUAUAUGGAGGAACACCGGUGGCGAAAGCGGCUCUCUGGCUUGUAACUGACGCUGAGGCUCGAAAGCGUGGGGAGCAAACAGGAUUAGAGACCCCUGUAGUCCCUGUUCUCUUAUAU
rnacentral:rRNA from 1 species